rnacentral:rRNA from 1 species
UACGAAGGGGGCUAGCGUUGUUCGGAAUUACUGGGCGUAAAGGGCUCGUAGGCGGCCAACUAAGUCGGAUGUGAAAUCCCCAGGCUUAACCUGGGAACUGCAUCCGAUACUGGAUGGCUUGAAUCCGGGAGAGGGAUGCAGAAUUCCAGGUGUAGCGGUGAAAUGCGUAGAUAUCUGGAGGAAUACCGGUGGCGAAGGCGGCAUCCUGGACCGGCAUUGACGCUGAUGAGCGAAAGCUAGGGGAGCAAACGGG